rnacentral:rRNA from 1 species
UACGGAGGGUGCAAGCGUUGUCCGGAAUCAUUGGGUGUAAAGGGUGCGUAGGUGGGAGCUUAAGUCUGGGGUGAAAUCUUGCCGCUUAACGGUAAAAUGGCCCUGGAUACUGGGUUUCUUGAGUGUAGAAGAGGUAAGUGGAAUUCAUAGUGUAGCGGUGAAAUGCAUAGAUAUUAUGAAGAACAUCAGUGGCGAAGGCGACUUACUGGUCUACAACUGACACUGAGGCACGAAAGCGUGGGGAGCGAACAGGAUUAGAUACCCUGGUAGUCCACGCCGUAAACGAUGCAUACUAGGUGUUGGCCCUUCGGGGUCAGUACUGCAGUUAACGCAUUAAGUAUGCCACCUGGGGAGUACGUCGGCAACGAUGAA